rnacentral:rRNA from 1 species
GUGGGGAAUAUUGGACAAUGGGGGAAACCCUGAUCCAGCAAUGCCGCGUGUGUGAAGAAGGCCUUAGGGUUGUAAAGCACUUUUGUUGGGGAGGAAGGAGUGUAGGCUAAUAACCUACAUGACAGACGUUACCCAAAGAAUAAGCACCGGCUAACUCUGUGCCAGCAGCCGCGGUAAUACAGAGGGUGCAAGCGUUAAUCGGAAUUACUGGGCGUAAAGGGUGCGUAGGUGGACGCAUAAGUCGGAUGUGAAAUCCCUGGGCUUAACCUAGGAACUGCAUUCGAUACUGUGAGUCUAGAGUAUGGUAGAGGUAAGUGGAAUUUCCGGUGUAGCGGUGAAAUGCGUAGAUAUCGGAAGGAACAUCAGUGGCGAAGGCGACUUACUGGACUGAUACUGACACUGAGGCACGAAAGCGUGGGGAGCAAACAGGAUUAGAUACCCCUGUAGUCC